GACGUAGGGCGCGAGCGUUGUCCGGAUUUAUUGGGCGUAAAGAGCUCGUAGGCGGCUUGUCGCGUCGACUGUGAAAACCCGCGGCUCAACUGUGGGCUUGCAGUCGAUACGGGCAGGCUGGAGUCCGGUAGGGGAGACUGGAAUUCCUGGUGUAGCGGUGAAAUGACGCAGAUAUCAGGAGGAACACCGGUGGCGAAGGCGGGUCUCUGGGCCGAUACUGACGCUGAGGAGCGAAAGCGUGGGGAGCGAACAGG
rnacentral:rRNA from 1 species